AUUGAACGCCGGCGGCAGGCCUAACACAUGCAAGUCGAACGGUAACAGGAAGCAGCUUGCUGCUUCGCUGACGAGUGGCGGACGGGUGAGUAAUGUCUGGGAAGCUGCCUGAUGGAGGGGGAUAACUACUGGAAACGGUAGCUAAUACCGCAUAAUGUCGCAAGACCAAAGAGGGGGACCUUCGGGCCUCUUGCCAUCGGAUGUGCCCAGAUGGGAUUAGCUUGUUGGUGGGGUAACGGCUCACCAAGGCGACGAUCCCUAGCUGGUCUGAGAGGAUGACCAGCCACACUGGAACUGAGACACGGUCCAGACUCCUACGGGAGGCAGCAGUGGGGAAUAUUGCACAAUGGGCGCAAGCCUGAUGCAGCCAUGCCGCGUGUAUGAAGAAGGCCUUCGGGUUGUAAAGUACUUUCAGCGGGGAGGAAGGGAGUAAAGUUAAUACCUUUGCUCAUUGACGUUACCCGCAGAAGAAGCACCGGCUAACUCCGUG
rnacentral:rRNA from 1 species